rnacentral:rRNA from 1 species
GACGAACGCUGGCGGCGUGCCUAAUACAUGCAAGUCGACCUUAGUGGCAAACAGGUGAGGAACACGUGGGUAACCUGCCCAUCAGAAGGGGGUAACACUUGGAAACAGGUGCUAAUACCGUCAACGGAUGGAGGGACCCGCGGUGCAUGAGGUAGUUGGUGAGGUAACGGCCCACCAAGGCCACGAUGCAUAGCCGACCUUAGAGGGUGAUCGGCCACAUUGGGACUGAGACACGGCCCAAACUCCUACGGGAGGCAGCAGUAGGGAAUAUUCGGCAAUGGACGAAAGUCUGACCGAGCAACGCCGCGUGAGUGAAGAAGGUUUUCGGAUCGUAAAACUCUGUUGUUAGAGAAGCGGUAUCUAACCAGAAAGCCACGGCUAACUACGUGCCAGCAGCCGCGGUAAUAC